rnacentral:rRNA from 1 species
GCAGCAGCCGCGGUAAUACGAAGGGGGCUAGCGUUGUUCGGAAUUACUGGGCGUAAAGCGCGCGUAGGCGGCCAUUCAAGUCAGAUGUGAAAGCCCUGGGCUCAACCUAGGAAUUGCAUUUGAUACUGUCUGGCUUGAGUUCGGUAGAGGUGAGUAGAAUUCCCAGUGUAGAGGUGAAAUUCGUAGAGAUUGGGAAGAACACCAGUGGCGAAGGCGGCUCACUGGACAGACACUGACGCUGAGGCGCGAAAGCGUGGGGAGCAAACAGGAUUAGAGACCCGCGUAGUCCCUGUCUCUUAUAC